CCUCGUGUUACACAAGCUGCUUCAAAUGAAUAAUGUCAAGAGUUCAGAAGAUGGUAGGGAUGUUAAUUCCUACUGAGUUCAGCGCAAGAUAUGCAGCCUGAUAGCUUCUACUGCUGCUGAACGCAUUACCCUUAAGAUAUCAUUAGCCUUUGAAGGAAAGACCAGUGUACUGGGAAUACACGUUAAACUGAUUACUCAUCGUGACAUCUAAGUACUUUUCAGAGGUUACACUCUGGAUUCAAUUUACUGAUUUCCACAGUAACAUCAUUCCCUGCUUUCAUCUGCGCUUGCAGAGAGCACUGGAUCUGAUGCAUUUCAGAUGAAAAGUGUUUCAGGUUGCAUAUGUUUCUGACAGUUUUGCUGUUUAGAGAGUUUCUCAGAAAUCACAGAUCUGAAGAAGAAAGUCAAGCAUCAAAUUUCAAAGAUUACCUGAGCUGCUAGCAGUGGCUGUCUGUCUUCCAUUUCAAUUAUCGUAUGCUGGCGAGGUGCAGCAGAGAGCAGACUAACUGAUACCAGAGCAAUUUUGGUGUGAUGUCGUCCUCUGGGAUUAACCUGACCAUGGGAGAGCAAAUACUUCUUCCAAGGAAUUCAUCUUUACCCUGCAACCAAAAAGGUCAUUUCUUGUUGCCAUUGCAGCUGUGCAGAAAUGAGAUGCAGUCAUUCCAUCUUACUUUACAGAAUGUCUUAUUUCUGGAGAUACCUCUCGGCUCUUACUGAUGGAGAAGCUGCAGCUCUUCUGCACUGUGCUGUUGCAAGGACCUGCUCUUAAGGCUUUAUCCCAGCAAUGGCCCAGGAAGUACACUCAGAAGAGGAACUGAAACAGCAAUUUUUAAACUCUGGAACCAAAUUACUUGGAGAAAGAAAACGCUAUCAAUGAAUCCUACGCCAACACUUCGUGCAAAAGAGAAACAAAACAAGAAGAAAGUGCAAACUUUCCUUAAUGCUAUACAAUCACAUUCAGAGUCAUCAUUUUAGAAGAACAAAGAAGCCUUCCCACCUUACUUGCUCCAAGUUGUAUUUUGGUAAAUAGAGCUCAUCUAUGAAGCUGUGUUACAACUGAAAACCUGAGGAAUAAUUCCAUUCUGAUUAUCUAUUUGUGACAUACAACAUUCUGGCUUCUCCAACACUUUGCUAUCCUUUCUUGUGCUUGGUUGUUUAUACAUGCAAACAUCACAGGUGCAGCUAUUUCCGUGCCUGUUGUUUCUGUAUUAACAUCAUUGUGUACCUGGUGUUAAAACAUUUAAAUUAUGUUCAUGAAAAGCUUGUGCUAUCUUUUCACUGGACGAGAAGGCUCAUUAGUAAUUUGGCUCUUUGCUCUAAAUCUUACAUAAUGUAAUAACAAAAAUAAUUUAAAAAAUAAAUAAGCAUGUUAUGCAAGAGUCUCGACUCCAACUUCAAUAGCUCCUUUCAGACUUUAAACAAUUUAAACAAUAUACAUUGUAUUAGUUCCUCAGUUAUAUAUUAAUCUAACAAUGCAAGGACUAAAACAGCUGAUAUU